UGCAGUCUGGUUCUUAUCUCUGUCACUGGCCUGAAAAAAGCAUUCAAGGCCUCGAGGCUGAGACUCAGCAGGAUGGGGCUCCAAUUCCACAAACAGGCUGAGUGCGCUUGGGCCCGUUAUACAAGGUCUACCCCUUCCUGAGGAUGCCUCACCAGCAGAAGCAGCAUACGCCUCUCUGGGCUCCUUGAGGACCACUUGAACUGACUGUGGGAUUCCAACUCUGCAAACAGCGCAGUCAUUGGCAGUCCAGACUGAGCGCCAUGUGGCCAGGUCAACAGUUCUGUAAAUGGUUAAAACUUCACUUCAACUGAGAACCUUACUUUCAAGCCAGAUAAGGACACAGCUUCUGGGCUGCAACUUAAGAGAGAAGGUUACUGAGGCACCAGAUGCCUCAGCCUCCAAAAGGGACCCCAUCAUUACAGAGUCCUUGUAUCACAAUAGAGGACGUUUUCUCUUUUACAGAUUUUAUUGUGUAUACAGUGUUCUGCCGCAUAUAUGGCUCAUGCCAGAAGAGGGCACCAGAUCUCAUUACAGGUGAUUGUGAGGCACCAUAUGGCUGCUAGAAAUAGAACUCAGGACCUCUGGAAGAGCAGCCAGGGCUCUUAACUGCUGAGCCUUCUCUCCAGCCCCAAAGAGGAUAUUUUCUAAGGUACACAACGCACAUGAGAUGUGACGCCUGUCCUGGAGCCUGGGGUAAAUUGCUCCUACUCUGCUGGCAGGUGAACUUGCCAGGCAAGUGAACUAGGGUCCGUGCACCCGGGUCACUUCCUACGGAACUCAGGCUUCUGCACUGGGAGUGAUGGCUGGACCCCACCAUCACUGCAACACCCAGAGAAGAGUACAUUUGCACUGUUCACCUGCUUUAUAGCAAAACCCAUGGGAACCCAGAUUCGAACCCCUGCUUUCUGAACUCUGUGUGAUGGCCCUGAGACCCCAGUGGCUGGUAUCCCUCCUCUGUCAUUUACUGAGCAACGAGCCUGACUGACAUGUGGUGAUGACAGUGUCUGCACCUGUAGUCUGUCUCCCGGAAUAUGGGAAAUGCCCAACAAGAGUACUUCUUGGUAACCGCCUGGUUGCCUUCCAGCCAGGAAACAUCCCGGAGGGAAGCAGAAGGACCCAGAAAGGAAAGGUCCGCCAUCCUACCUGUCCGCAGCUCCCGCUCCGUCCCACCUGCUGCGAGGACUGGCGGCUGCCUGGGUCUCCGUCCUGCCCCAGCACUUGGGCACAGGGAAGAGGAUGUUUUGUAACUUUUGGCUGGAACUUCCAGACGCCGAACAGGAAAUGUCCUCUGGGACGCCUCCGAAGCUCAAGGAGUCAUUGCGGGUCUUCCUGGAAGCUAGUGGCAAAUUCUGCGUUUCCCUCUCCCUCCCCUUCUCCCUCUUCCCCCCCUCAUCUCCCCUCCACCCCUUCCCCUCCCCCUCCCUUCCCCCUCCUUUCCCCUGUGCCUCUCUACUCCGUUGUGUACUGAAACCUUUUUCCUCUGGGUAAACUUGGCUCCAGAACACUCCUUCCUUGUGAGAGAUUUUUCUCAUGUUACACAAUUUAGUUUAAAAAAAAAAUCAGACCUUUUUUUUUCCUACUCUGAACUUUGUACUGGGAACAUUUUUUGAUAGUUUUUUUUCCCCCUUCUCUGACCCUUUGGAUUCCAAGAAAAUGCACGCCCACAUCCCUCUUACUGGUCCCACCCCCCCUUCUCUCCGUUGGAAAGACAACAGCUGGUAGAAGUCAGCCCUUUAACUAUGGGUGCCCAGCUGAGCUUUCUCCUACGGGUGCGACCACCCUGGAGCCUGUGUGCAAUGCAUUAGGAGAUCUGGGGGCCUAAGGAGGGCCUUCAGGGACAGAACUGGUUACCUUUCCCAACUCACUACGUCCUGUGGCCCCCAGGGAUGGGACCAGGAGUGCCCCAGACUGAGGUGCCCACUAGAAGACCGGUGGCUGGUAAGCACCUUUAGCCUUUACCAUUUACGGCACUUGACCCUGCAAGGAAACCCGGCAGUUCUUACAGCGCAGACUUGCAGUCAUGAAACGGAUUAUCGUUUCUGUACUGGGUUUUAGCAGAAAACAGGUAGUAGACUAACGAUGCAAGGCUGUAAGAAAAGGCAUUUCUGACAAUUUUAGCGUAUUAGGGAUUUUCUUUAGGAGAAAUUUUUAUUAUAUGUGUUUUAGCUGAUACAUAAAGCCAUAAAAAUGUAAUACGUGGUAAUGAAUUCAAUCCUAUAUUCAACAUAUUUAGUUAGGGGCUGGAGAGAUGGCUUAGUAAUUAAGAGCACUUAUUGCUCUUGGAGAGGACUCUGGUUUUGGCACCCAGCACCCAACUGUUUGUAACUCCAGUUCUUCAGGAUCUAAUGCUCUCUUCUGGCCUCGGGGGGUACUGCACACACACACACACACACACACACACACACACACAAAGCAAAAUGAGACAAAAAGUCUACAGCAAUCCCACUGGGAUCUUUUUGUGUGUGGUUUACCCGGAAGUGUGGCUGAUACACCCAGUGAGAUUCCACUGGAGAACUGCCCCUUUGUCAGCAGGUCUCAAUUGCAGAUAGUUUCUUGGUGAGGGGUGGGAACCUAUGUCCACUUCUGCUUCUCAGUGCUGGGACUCCAUCUGGCUUGAGCCUGUGCAGGGCCCGUGCCUGCUGCCACGGUCUCUGUGAGUUCACGUGUGCAACAGUCCUGUUGUGACUGGCUGGGGCUUUUCUUUUUCAAAAUUCAUGUUAUUCAUGGUACCUGUUUAGUCCAACAAUCUCUCUCUCUCAUGUUCUAUGUUAGAAUUGCAAAUAUCAUCCAUCCAUUCAUUUCAUUUAAUAAAUAUUUAUGAAUAUCA